GACGAACGCUGGCGGCGUGCUUAACACAUGCAAGUCGAACGAAGUGGCGAACGGGUGAGUAACGCGUAAUCAACCUGCCCUUCAGAGGGGGACAACAGUUGGAAACGACUGCUAAUACCGCAUACUGAAGGAGGGGCUUGCGUCUGAUUAGCUAGUUGGAGGGGUAACGGCCGACGUAGGCGACGUUCCCUAGCUUGUCUGAGAGGAUGACCAGCAACACGGGAACUGAGACACGGUCCAGACUCCUACGGGAGGCAGCAGUGGGGAAUAUUGCACAAUGGGCGCAAGCCUGAUGCAGCCAUGCCGCGUGUGUGAGGAAGGCCUUCGGGUUGUAAAGCUCUGUUAAUCGGGACGCGGUACCGGAAUAGAAAGCCACGGCUAACUACGUGCCAGCAGCCGCGGUAAUAC
rnacentral:rRNA from 1 species